GAGUUUUGAUCAUGGCUCAGGACGAACGCUGGCGGCGUGCUUAACACAUGCAAGUCGAACGAGAAGCAUCACCAUGAAUUUUUCGGAAGGAUUGGAGGUGCGGAAAGUGGCGAACGGGUGAGUAACGCGUGGAUAACCAACCUUGAACUGGGGGACAACACCGGGAAACCGGUGCUAAUACCGCAUAUAUCCGGACAUGGCAUCAUGACCGGAGGAAAGGAUUUAUUCGGUUCAAGACGGAUCCGCGUCCAAUUAGCUAGUUGGUGGGGUAACGGCCCACCAAGGCGACGAUUGGUAGCCGGGCUGAGAGGCUGAACGGCCACAUUGGGACUGAGACACGGCCCAGACUCCUACGGGAGGCAGCAGUGGGGAAUAUUGCACAAUGGGGGAAACCCUGAUGCAGCGACGCCGCGUGAAGGAUGAAGGUUUUCGGAUCGUAAACUUCUUUGAUCGGGGACGAAAAAUGACGGUACCCGAAAAACAAGCCACGGCUAACUACGUGCCAGCAGCCGCGGUAC
rnacentral:rRNA from 1 species